CCUACGGGGGGCAGCAGUGGGGAAUAUUGGACAAUGGGGGCAACCCUGAUCCAGCCAUGCCGCGUGUGUGAAGAAGGCCCUCGGGUUGAAAAGCACUUUCAGUGAGGAAGAACGCCUGGUGGUUAAUACCCAUCAGGAAAGACAUCACUCACAGAAGAAGCACCGGCUAACUCCGUGCCAGCAGCCGCGGUAAUACGGAGGGUGCGAGCGUUAAUCGGAAUUACUGGGCGUAAAGCGCGCGUAGGUGGCUUGAUAAGCCGGUUGUGAAAGCCCCGGGCUCAACCUGGGAACGGCAUCCGGAACUGUCAAGCUAGAGUGCAGGAGAGGAAGGUAGAAUUCCCGGUGUAGCGGUGAAAUGCGUAGAGAUCGGGAGGAAUACCAGUGGCGAAGGCGGCCUUCUGGACUGACACUGACACUGAGGUGCGAAAGCGUGGGUAGCAAACAGGAUUAGAUACCCUUGUAGUC
rnacentral:rRNA from 1 species